UCAAAGUUCAAGAGAGAAUUUUUUGCUACUUUCACCACCCUAUUUUUCGCUUGGCUGGUUGGACCUUGCCAGGUGAAGGAAUCUGAGAUAGAAGGAAAAAUGGAGAAGAAUGUAGUUCACAUCCCCAAAUGCAGGCUCUUGGAGGAGAGCAAAUGUGUAGGGAUGUGCGUAAACCUGUGUAAGAUGCCAUCGCAGAAGUU